rnacentral:ncRNA from 1 species
CGUCGCGAGGCGGAAUCUGAAGUAAACCCAAAGUAAACUCUCGGUCUUACGAACAGAAAUCGCAUAUAAAGCAACUGCGGUGCGGUCGAGUCUGCCGGACAAGACAAAGUCCCAUACUGCCCGAACCCCGUGGUGUAAACGCGGCAAAUAUAUUG